rnacentral:lncRNA from 1 species
AAACAAUGUGGUAAAGUACUCAGUUCUUCCAAUUCCCUUAGAGUACAUGAAAGAACUCAUGCUGAAGACAAGUCCUUUGAGCGUAAACAAUGUGGUAAAGCUCUCAGAAGUCACAGUUACCUUCAAGAACAUGAAAGAACUCAUAUUGAAGGAAAACUCAAUGAACAUGAACAGUGUGGUAAAGUACUGAGUUGUCCCAGUUCCCUUCAACUUCAUGAAAAUGUUCAUAGUGUAGAAAAACCCUGUGUAUGUAAACAAUGUGGUAAAGCCUUCCGAUAUCAAAGUUCCCUUCUACGGCAUGAAAGAGC